UUCCAUUACUGGAAGGGAAAAGCAGGCACUAUAUUCACAGAUUCAAAGUAUGUGUUUGGGGUGGUUCAUACUUUCGGCAAAAUAUGGGAAGAAAGAAGAUUGAUCAAUACACAAGGUA